rnacentral:RNase_P_RNA from 1 species
GCGGUAAGAGCGCACCAGCAGCAUCGAGAGGUGCUGGCUCGGUAAACCCCGGUUGGGAGCAAGGUGGAGGGGCUACGGUUGGUUUUUUACCAGCCCCGCUAAGUAGAGCCGCUUGAGGUGUCUGGUAACAGGCAUCCCAGAUAGAUAACUACCCUUCGGGUUGGUAACAGCCUGGAGAACAGAAUCCGGCUUAUGUCCGACUCUCUCU